rnacentral:rRNA from 1 species
CAGCUUUUGACGGUGG